AGAGUUUGAUCAUGGCUCAGAAUGACGCUGGCGGCGUGCCUAACACAUGCAAGUCGAGCGAGAAAGUCUCUUCGGAGAUAAGUACAGCGGCGACGGGUAGAGUAACGCGUGAGAAUUUACCCUUUAGUGAAGAAUAACCUCUGAGAAAUCAGGGUUAAUACUGCAUACGUCCCUACGGGGAGAAAAGGUGGCCUCUUUGCUGCCGCUAAAGGAUAAGCUUGCGUACUAUUAGCUAGUUGGUGAGGUAAAGGCUCACCAAGGCGAUGAUGGUUAGCCGGCCUGAGAGGGUGUACGGCCACACUGGAACUUAGACACGGUCCAGACUCCUACGGGAGGCAGCAGUGAGGAAUAUUGCGCAAUGGGCGAAAGCCUGACGCAGCGACGCCGCGUGGGGGAUGAAGGUCUUCGGAUUGUAAACUCCUGUUAAGUGGGAAGAAAGACCUAUUUCUAAUACAGAUAGGGGAUGACGGUACCAUUAGAGAAAGCACCGGCUAACUUCGUG
rnacentral:rRNA from 1 species